UACGAAGGGGGCUAGCGUUGUUCGGAAUUACUGGGCGUAAAGCGCACGUAGGCGGCUUUGUAAGUUAGAGGUGAAAGCCCAGAGCUCAACUCUGGAACUGCCUUUAAGACUGCAUCGCUAGAAUCAUGGAGAGGUGAGUGGAAUUCCGAGUGUAGAGGUGAAAUUCGUAGAUAUUCGGAAGAACACCAGUGGCGAAGGCGACUCACUGGACAUGUAUUGACGCUGAGGUGCGAAAGCGUGGGGAGCAAACAGG
rnacentral:rRNA from 1 species